GAAGAAGUGAUGGACAGCGUCGAACAAGUGAAUAGGAUUUUCGAGAAAAACAAAAACUUCAUUCACGGAAAGAUGCGAGAGAUAGUGGAAAAUAAAAGAGUAACUAUCGAAUUGAAUGCCAAUAUAUUGGAAUGUGAAAAGCAAAAAAAAAUACUGAACGAAUAUGUGAAAAGUUCAGAGACCCUGCUGGCUUCCACAAACGAAUUGAGAGAAAUGAUGUUAACCAUAACUGGUAAAUAAUACAAUAUUGCUACAUGUAUUUAUUCGUUUGAAUUUUUUUUAUUGUUUUUUUAAAUAAUACAUCAUCUACCGUAGAGGAAACCUCAAACGUUCAAAAUGCAAUAACAGACGUAAAAAAAGGUAUUACCGCUUUGGUAUCGGAAAAACAAAAGGAAGCCAACUCGUUGAAGAGUAAUGAUAAGAUGGUGGUUUCUUUGAAGAAGCUCCUAUGCGAAAUGUACGAUAACAGUUUCAAUUCGCUGACGGACAAAAAAUCGAAAUUGGCCCAGCUGAAAAAAGAAAACGAACUGACCCGAGCCAUGUUCGAGGCAAAGAACCAAAAGGUACUCGGCUAUUAUGUGGAACAAUAUGAACGUCUGAAAGCCAAGAACGCUCAGCUGAAAGCAUCUUUGGCCAUUCAGCGUCGUCGAGCG